ensembl:miRNA
CCUGGAGCGCGCGGGCGAGGCAGGCGCAGCGCACCGGGGCUCUCGUGGGCGCACUGCUGCGCGCUCGCACCGCGCGGCUCUCAG